rnacentral:rRNA from 1 species
GAUGAACGCUGGCGGCGUGCUUAACACAUGCAAGUCGAACGAUGACGACCGAGCUUGCUCGGUCUGAUUAGUGGUGAACGGGUGAGUAACACGUGAGCAACCUGCCCUUCACUCUGGGAUAACCUCGGGAAAUCGGGGCUAAUACCGGAUAUGAGCUCCUGUCGCAUGGCGGGUGUUGGAAAGUUUUUCGGUGAAGGAUGGGCUCGCGGCCUAUCAGUUUGUUGGUGAGGUAGUGGCUCACCAAGGCGAUGACGGGUAGCCGGCCUGAGAGGGCGACCGGCCACACUGGGACUGAGACACGGCCCAGACUCCUACGGGAGGCAGCAGUGGGGAAUAUUGCACAAUGGGCGAAAGCCUGAUGCAGCGACGCCGCGUGAGGGAUGACGGCCUUCGGGUUGUAAACCUCUUUCAGCAGGGAAGAAGCGAAAGUGACGGUACCUGCAGAAGAAGCGCCGGCUAACUACGUG